UCCUACGGGAGGCAGCAGUGGGGAAUAUUGCACAAUGGGGGAAACCCUGAUGCAGCCAUGCCGCGUGUGUGAAGAAGGCCUUCGGGUUGUAAAGCACUUUCAGCGAGGAGGAAAGGUCAGUAGCUAAUAUCUGCUGGCUGUGACGUUACUCGCAGAAGAAGCACCGGCUAACUCCGUGCCAGCAGCCGCGGUAAUA
rnacentral:rRNA from 1 species